rnacentral:rRNA from 1 species
UAGCGGCAGGCCUAAUACAUGCAAGUCGAACGGUGGUAGCAAUACCAUAGUGGCGCACGGGUGCGUAACACGUAACUAACCUGCCCAAGACUGGGGGAUAGCCCGCCGAAAGGCGGAUUAAUACCGCAUAACACUUUUGAGUGGCAUCACUUAAUAGUUAAACCUGAGGGGGUCUUGGAUGGGGUUGCGGGUCAUUAGCUAGUUGGUCAGGUAACGGCUUACCAAGGCGACGAUGACUAGGGGAGCUGAGAGGCUGGUCCCCCACACGGGCACUGAGAUACGGGCCCGACUCCUACGGGAGGCAGCAGUAGGGAAUAUUGGGCAAUGGACGAGAGUCUGACCCAGCCAUGCCGCGUGCAGGAAGAAGGCUUUCUGAGUCGUAAACUGCUUUUGAUAGGGAAGAAUAAGCACUACGUGUAGUGUGAUGACGGUACCUACAGAAUAAGCACCGGCUAACUCCGUGCCAGCAGCCGCGGUAAUACGGAGGGUGCGAGCGUUGUCCGGAUUUAUUGGGUUUAAAGGGUGCGUAGGCGGCCCGUUAAGUCCGGGGUGAAAGCCCGUUGCUCAACAACGGAACUGCCCUGGA